UACGUAGGGGGCAAGCGUUGUCCGGAAUCAUUGGGCGUAAAGAGCGUGUAGGCGGCCCGAUAAGUCCGCUGUGAAAGUCCAGGGCUCAACCCUGGGAUGCCGGUGGAUACUGUCGGGCUCGAGUCCGGAAGAGGAGUGUGGAAUUCCUGGUGUAGCGGUGAAAUGCGCAGAUAUCAGGAGGAACACCCGUGGCGAAAGCGGCUCUCUGGGACGGUACUGACGCUGAGACGCGAAAGCGUGGGGAGCAAACAGG
rnacentral:rRNA from 1 species